CCUUGACCUAACCCAAAUAUUCUUUUUCCAAGGAAUAUUCCUUUUCUAUUUGAGGAAUAAUUCUUUUUGCCCUAGGUUGUGAAGCAACCUAUAUUUCUGUCACUCCCAAAAUUCCUAAAUACAUCUCAUAAAUUGUUUGGGUCAUAUCUUCCUCAAAUAUGGCAAAAUAUUUCAUUGGCCAUGUUUCCCAUCAUGCUCAAUUAAUUCCCUUUCUAUUCUGGCCUGAAUGGCAGUUUGUGAAGCAAGUGCCAUUUAUCUUUGCCCAAUUCAACCAAAACUUCUUGGACACCUUUUCUUGUCCAUAUCAUUGCCCCAUGCCAAAAUUCAACUCAACUUUCCUAGUAAAUAUUUGUAAGCAAUUUUCCAAAGUUUUUGUCCAGGAAGAAACUUUGUGAAGGAGCUAUAUUCUAGGAAUAUCCAAAUGAGUUGAAAUUUUGCAAGGUCCUUCAUAUGAUCAAAUCAUGAAUAUCCACCAAAUUUGAGCUCAUGUAACUCAUAUAUGUGAGCCCAGCUCCAAAUCUUAGUUUCUGGUCAGAUUUUCAGUUUGUGAAGCAACUAUAUUUUAUAUUGCUUCAUUUAAGCUGAAACUUUUCCCAGGCAUUCUUCCAUCUAGAUAAACUCCCUCCACCAAAAUUUGGCUCAAUCCAUUACACCAUUUGCCCUGUGCAAUUUUUCCAAGUUUCUGUCCAGAAUGAAGCUUUGUGAAGCAAGUGCCACUUUGAUAUUUUCAAAGGGCAUGAAACUUCUACAACAGCUUCAUAUCAUCAAAUAACCUACCUCCACCAAAUUUCAGCUCAUAACAAUCAAGGAUGUGAGUGCCACUUCAUAAUGUUCAAUUCUGGCCAUUAUGGUUGUUUCUAAAGAAACCCUCAUCUAAACCUCUUCUCUUAGUCUGAUUUUUGGUGAUCAGCAUCACCUUAGUGUGUGAUCAUCACCAGACAAAUUAUUUACCACGUUACCAAGCUGGUGUCACCAUAGCAAGUUAGAAACACCUUCCUGUUUAUUUACUUUGGAGCUAAGUGCAAAUCUCUUCUUUGCCCCUAGACCGAUAUAUUUCCUCAUUUUGACUAAGCGCACGACGGUCUAUCUACUAGACAUGGUCGGGCGGGCCAAAACCCGGAGUUUGCUCCAGUGCGUGUGGUGAUCACGCUGAUGUCAUGCCUAAUUGCGUGCUCUGGCUUGUUCUUGCCCCUGUGCUCGUCUCCUCCCUCCUCGUCUCAACGUCCAACCAUGUCCUGGAGCUUCCCCGUGAUCGACUGCAUCUCCCUGCGUCGCUGCCUCGUCGUGGUUCGCCUUAAAUGCGUCGCAAACGCCAUGCCCAGCCUCUGUCCACCAUUAGAGCACUGCACAAGCUUGCUAGCGUUGCUCUAGAGCCCUCCCCUCGGCUAUAUAAGCGUGCCCCGAGCCCUCCCGCAGCUCAUCCACUCCUCAUUUGCCUCCCUAGCCCACCAGAGUCCUCGGCCCCCUCUUCUUUUCGCCAAAGAUCGCCAUGGCCGCCUCGGUUCCUCCUCGGUUCCGGCGAACCUAGCCCCUCUCCUCUCCUCCAGAGCUGUCCACUAGCUUCCCCUCAUCCCCACGGUUCGCCCCACCACCUUGCCCCACGCCGGAGCCCCUCUGGCCACGGUCUCCACGCUUGGCCGUCGCCUCUGUCUCUUGGCCACCUAUUCGUUCCGGCCAUCCGGUGCUCCUCUCUCCCCCCCGUCGCCACCAGAGCAUCCCCCUCGUCCCCACAUCGCCCCGCCCUCUCGCCCUAGCCUCCACGUCGCCGGAGUGCUCCCCCUCCAAGAAAAAGGCCGCCGGAGCCCGCUCCCGUUCCUCCAUCGCCACGGUCGUUCCGCUCCUCCCCGGUGCCCCUCUGCCUGGGGAUGGGUGCAGCUCGGUCCCACGAUCUCGUCGGUGGUCGUCGCUCGGCCUCCGGGGGCCUGAGCCGGCCGCCACGUCACCGGCAGCGCGGCCCCUCCCCUACCACUUCUGUCCUGCACGGGGGAGCAGCGGGAGGAAGAAGACGCCCGCGGCUGGCCCUCCUCCCUGUCGCCUGGGCCCCGCCGUCAGUGGCGCAGCAGGCCCAGCUGAUGUGGCAAGUGGAAGCGCUCCCGGGUGAGUACGUUUUCAUUUGCCGGAAGCGUAUUUCCGUUUCUACGCUUUCAUUUGCCUAAAAACGUACUUCUUUCCUUCAUCAGCCCGUAAUGCAUUUUCUAACUCAGAAAGCGUAGUUUCUGAAAUCCGUUUCUGUCUUAUCCACUCAGGGAUCCGGCUAUGAAUACUCUUUUUACAGAAAAGUCCCUGAUCUUCUACACCUCAUAACUCCGCAACCGUAACUCCGAUUGAGGUGAAACCAACGCUCACGUGUUCGUCUCGUCGAGCUCUUUCUGUUGGUACCAUUUUCAUAAAGUGUUCACACUAUGAAAAUGACCAUUAUGCCCUUGCCUCUAAUCAGCCCCCUCCAAGGGAGAACCGUCCGUCGUUUCGCAAGCCACAACAGCCACUUGCAUGGUGGUCAUGCAGUAGCCAUGGUUUUCAACUUGAAUAUUUAAUAAAUGUUUGCUUGUUUUGAUACAGUUAUCAUUGUUCCGGUGAUGCUUAUAAAUCUAUUUUCACUCUCAUGCUAUGCUCUUCUGCAUCUUGUUAUCUUGCACUUAUUACUAGUAUUAUUGUUAUAUGUCAUGCUUGAUGGUAGUAGCAGUAUGUUCUUUCGGAUGCAUAUUUAUGAGCUGUUAUCUAGUGUCGUAGCUAUGCAUGUUACUUUGUAUCAUGCUGGUUAUAUGCUUACUUGGUAGUAUUCUGGAUGAGUUCUUGCAUGUUAUUUAUUUAUGAUGCUAGUGGUCAUGAUAUGCUCAUGAGUAAUGUUAUGCCCGUCAGCUUACCAUGCUCAUUUGGUUAAUGUUUCAUGAAUAUGUUGCACCUCCAUGCUUAUGUUGAUUUAUGUUCAUGCAUUGUUGUUGCAUCAUGUUAUUUUCAUAUGACUCAGCUCCUUGCAUUCAAGUUUAACCGGACUUAAUUGAACUUGAACAACUGUUGGCUGAGUCAUGGUGCCACCGUAUCGAGCUGACCAGUGCAACCACACUUACCUUUAUGGGAGGGUCCUAACUAGGUCUAUUGUCAUGCCUCUCGCCGGUGCCUCUAACGAGGGAAGGUUAUGGGCACACGCUACCCUGAUCAGGUAGGCGGACAUAAGCCUUGUGUGCCCGUAGUUGUUGUUAGGCGCCUUUUUGUCCCCGUUUGGGACCGUUUAUGUUUUGCCACGACGGUGGCCAUUGGUGUCUUUGGUAGGCACGGGGCCACCCAGGACUGAACCCUGGGGGGUGUUGGUCGGAGUGGCUGGGAGAGUGUCAUGGCAGUAGGACGGUUUUUUCGGAACGCCGUUGGUCCACCCGAAUGGGAGUGCGAGGCCAUGGGUUCCGUGGUGUGGGUACAGUGUGCUAACCUCUGCAGAGUGUGUGUUAAAACUAUCGAUGGCCGUGCCCGCGGAUAAGGGCCCAGUUCGUGUCGGUCACACUAUGUGUCAACAGUAAAAAUAAUAAUGUGAUUAAUAACAACCCCGGUUUGAUGAUGAGAUAAGUUGGUUCUGUGAUCCGUGAAUGAUCACCAUUUGGUUACGAGGUAACCCGUUGAACCAAGAUGGUUCCGUUUGUGAUCUAUGAAUGAUCACUGUGGUAUCGAGGAUACCGAGUUGUUGGAUAUUUGUGAUGUUGUGCGAGAAUCGUGGGUAAAGAUCAAGCUCCUUGGGUCAUUUAAUGAUUACUACGGUAUUGUUUAUACCAAGCUUGAUUUGAUCCUGAGAUGAUCGUGUAGUGUCUGAGGUUGGUAAGUGAUGCAUAUGAUGGUUAUGAGGUAACCCGAGCAGAAUAAGUGGUGCAUACAGUGUCAUCAUGUUGCAUGCUAGUAUCAUCAGGUUUAUAUAUGUUCAUGCCAUGCUCAUAUUGUUCUAGCGGUAUUAUGUUUAUGUUGUUCAUGCCAUGUUAUCCUGAUGAUCUCAUGAUAAUUCCUGCUUAACCUGUAAUUGCAAUGCUAUUGUUUAUCUUGAAUGCUUCUGGUUAUUGUGAGCUUGCAAGUACAUUCAAUGUACUGACCUGGCGUGUCAUGCCAGUUUGCAGGUCGUGCCUGGAUUGCUUGCUUGUUUGGUGUGGUUCCUGUGUUCGCGAGCUAGGAUAAACAUUCCAGCCAGAGUCCCUGCAAACUGGAGUCCAUCAUCGCCGUUCGCUAUUCCGCUGCCAGUAGUUAUUUCGCUGCCUCGAGUUGUUAUGCUGCUUGUAUAGAGCAAGCGUGGUUGGCGUAGUGUCGCCGUGCCGAUGUUAUUCAUUGUAAUAUCGGAGACCUUGUAUUCCUAGUCGUGUUGUAAUAGAGAGCUGGUUUGUUCUAUGCUAAGCAGUGCCGUAUUCCAGAAGACUUCACCUCGAUCUCUGGGCUGGAAUACGGGGCGUUCCGGUUUUCUCUGAGCCGGGGUGCCACAGGCUUGGUAUCAGAGCAGGUCUGGCUGUAGAGUGUCCUAGUACGCUAGAACGUUAGAAAAAAGUAGUAUAGGGUCUGGUUGUUGCCCUUACUUGCUAAAUUUGAUUGUUGCAUUUGUUUGCCACAUAUAGUCUUAUCUCGGUUACCCUAACCCCUGUUUCAUGCGUAGAUGGCGGUCAACUUCCAUGGGUUCAGUGCCAUCCCCAUAGCUCCCGGUGCUGUUCCUAUUGCGUUUAGUCCCACUCCUGCACCUCUCAGCUUUGCCACCCUCCUUGGCGAUAUGUGGCGUAGCAUUUAUCCUCUCGGAGAUCCACCUCUUUAUCAAGUAUUUGAGUCUCCUGCUGGAGGAAGAAUCCUGGAGUAUGUUGCUCAUGUCCAUCUGUCAACCCCGAUUCCUGUUGGUAAGCGCACCUAGAGUUUCCACGGUGGUUACGGUACUACUCCCGAGCGUGCCGUCCAGCUUGCCACAAUGGCAGCAAUCACCGGUCUUCAUCAUCAUGAGAGCAUGGUGCAAGAGAACCGUGCUUAUCAAUAUUAUCCCACCAUCGUCGAGAAGCCUAGGCGGAUCCAGUUUUCGUCUGUCGACCCUCAAGAUGACCCGGCUAUCCUCGCCAUGUCCCGUUACAUGACAGCCGAGUGUCUUCUUAUUUCCGAGUUAGUCCAAGACGCCAUUCGAGCCAGGAGAUCGCUUGGUGCUUUCCUACCUCAGUCUCCGCCUGUUUCUCCAACCCCUCCGCCUUGUCCAUUCGGAGUUUCUGGGUCAGCAGUUCCACUCGCUACUCCCUUAGCUUCCUCGUCAGUUCGUGAGCGUUUGCUCAAGCGUAGGAUGUAAUCCUUCAUGUAGUGCUUGUGCAUCUGCUGUAGUAUCAUGAUUGUGUGUGCCUGUGUGGAGCACCUUUGUAGCUUGUUUGCUGUGUGCUUUGUUGCAAUAAAUCGUUUUCUCGUGCUUCUUUGUUUUGAAUCCUCGGUGUUACCCCCUUAUGGAAAUUACUCCUUGACCAACACCGGAUCAGAAGAAGCCGUGAGCAGUACAGAUAUACCCCAAGGAACUCAGUUAAAAGCAAUGAGAUUUUCAGCCGACAACAUUGUAUUGCAGACAUCCGGUCUGAAUACAAGUAUAUUCUGCUCAGACUUUCAGCAACAAGUACCUGUCAGAGAUAUACUUUUAUCGCAGCAAUGAUUAAAUCAGCAACAUGACAAAACUGGAUCCAAGUCCAUCAUGCAUUCCCAGUCAAGGGUAUGGUCCAUACGCGAUGAUUGAAUCUUCCAUAAGCCAAAUUUAAAACAUUGCGACACCCAGAAGUCAGUCCAAAUACGCAAUGAAUUCAACAAUGACAGCCAGACAAUUCUUUUCAUAUAAAUAAUCAGCUGCCGGACUGACAAUAAUAUAUAUAUAUAUAUAUGUCAUUCCAUUCACCAAAAAAAUCAGUCCCAUCCUUCUCAACAAUUUAUUGGCGAAGUGUACAAAGACAAGGUUCCCAGUCUGCCUCAUUGAGUAUGAAUGGAUUCCCAUGCAAGAUAUUCAGUCUUCUCAAGAAAAUACUGCAAAAGUUUCUAGCACAAGGUACCGAGUCUUCCCUAGCAAGUCUUUAAGGGGGGAAGCUUAUGAGGUACGGUACCCCGUUUUCUUCAAUAAGAUAUCCGCCGAAGGCUUCGAGCACAAGCCAUCCAGUCUUCCUCAGCACGAUACCCUGAUGGUUUCCAAAUGCAAGCUUCCCAAUCUUCUUCAAUACGAAAAUAGUACAAGACAUUAAACUACGAAUUGUUAGCAUAUGGCAGUGUUUUCCAAGUGGCAGAUCUGCAAUAGUUUGGUCUGAAACAAGAAUCAGUCAGGACGAAGGUAUGCCUCGAGAAUCAAAUAUUUGUUCAUACCAUGAGUAUGCUGCCAAGUCCAUGCAAGUCUCUCGCAUAAGGAAGAAUUCACAGAAAGACAACAUUGGGGCAAUAGUCUUGGCAGUGAUUAUCAAGAUCAGCCCCGCAAUUAUUAAACCUGGCACAGUCUGGCAUAAUCAACAACAUUAUUGAGAUCUGUAUAACCACACGUGAGCCGGAUAAAUAUACCAAGGCUCAAAACAUGAACCAUACCAAGGUAUGAUUGUAAGAUAUUGCACAUGACAGUAUUCAGCGCCGCGAAAAUAAUCAAGGAUAUAUAUAUAUAUAAGGCCUCGCUCUUUCAGUUAAGGAUCCAGAUGAAGAAAGUAAUAAUGAAAGAGCAAGAAUACAUGUAUGCUGGUUAUUGUGUGAGCAAUGUGGUAUGUAUGCCCAAGACAGACUUAUUCCAUAUCGAACCCCAUGAAGAUACGCCUAAGAGGUCUACUCCAUUCUAGAAAGGUCCCCAUGGCAAGGCAACCAGCUCAGUCCACAGUAUGCUCAGAACUAUCAGCAUUGAAUGCCCGAGUUUGUUAAGUCCGAACCCAGGACAACUCCAUAUAUUGACCUCAGCACCCGCGAUGGAGCAUCGCACGGACUGUUAUUCCCAUGGAGAUACCGGCAAAAAUGAAGAAUCAGUAUGAGAACACAUACUUUGAGGAUUGUUGCCCCUCACAUAUGGGAAGCAAUUAAAGAAUAGCCUGUGCGAAUGGGAUUCUUUGCCAAGAUCACCGCCGGUCAAGUCUGCAAAUGUUAUCAUCAGGGGAUGGUGCAUUUUUUAUCUGUCAUGGCAAGCGACAGUCAAACCUUGGGUACAAUUUGGAUACUCAAGACUGUGAAGCCAGUCAAGAUAAGUCAGAAACUCAUGCAAGAUGUCAAAAUCAAUUAACAAAACAGGUAUGAUCCACCUCACUGUUUUGAACCCCGAAGGCAUGCAUAUAUUCGAGGAACCCGAUGCCUGGAUAGAAGCGAUUCUUUGUUCUACGGGAAGAGGUGUUCCCCAACUCUGUGGAAUAUUCUCGGUACUCGAUACGAGAAUAACAUCUGCAGCAAGGAUCAAUAUCAAGAAGGACAAGUAUGUGAGUAAAGAUAAUGUUUCAGAUGCCAGCUAAGCCAACAUAUAUGAAAGAAAAUUUAAGUCAGGAACAUAUGAGGUAAGUCCUGUCAGAAUGUCAGGUACGGCGAAGCAAACCACCCCAGAUCAAAACCGUCAGUCAUAUCCAAUUCAGUGGAAAUAUUAUAUGCGAAUGAAUAAAAGAAACCCGAGUUGGCAACGGUUUCUUCAAGUCAGAAAAAGUUAUUUAACCCUGAGCAACCAAAUCUCGAGGACGAGAUUUAUUUAAGGGGGGAAGGUUUGUAAUAGCCUGGUUCUGCGCUUUUCUUUUUCCUUUGAUUUUCUUGGAUUUCUGGUUUGAUUUGCUUUUCCGUGGCUAUGUGGUUCUGAAACUUCGGAAGAUCAUGUCUUCCUAGGUUUUAUAGUGGCUUGUCACACUCGUCAUCAUUCCAAGAUCAUGUCAUUUUCCACCCUUGACCUAACCCAAAUAUUCUUUUUCCAAGGAAUAUUCCUUUUCUAUUUGAGGAAUAAUUCUUUUUGCCCUAGGUUGUGAAGCAACCUGUAUUUCUGUCACUCCUAAAAUUCCUAAAUAAUUCUCAUAAAUUGUUUGGGUCAUAUCUUCCUCAAAUAUGGCAAAAUAUUUCAUUGGCCAUGUUUCCCAUCAUGCUCAAUUAAUUCCCUUUCUAUUCUGUCAUGAAUGGAAGUUUGUGAAGCAAGUGCCAUUUAUCUUUGCCCAGUUCAACCCAAACUUCUUGGACACCUUUUCCUGUCCAUAUCAUUGCC
rnacentral:lncRNA from 1 species